rnacentral:rRNA from 1 species
AUGGAAGGAGACGAAAUUGUUCAAAAUCCAGGUGCUGGGCAAGUUGGUAGAAAAAAUAAAACCCUCAAUGAUCAGCAAAAAAUUGAUGCUUAUGUAGCAUUGCAUACACUGUGUAUGAGUAGAGGAGGCACUUUUAAGAAAACUGAUAAGCAAGAUAUUGCAAAAAAUUUUGGAGUGGGUGUUUGGAAUAUACAAAGAAUUUGGAGGAAAGCAAUGUUGCAAAUUCAACAAGGUCAAGAGGUAGAUGUUGCCGAUCAGAGAAAAGGAAAUUCUGGAAGAAAGCCUAAGGACAUUAACCUAGAAAAAAUCCUAACAAUCCCAUUAAACAGGAGGUCUACUAUUAGAUCACUAGCCUGUCAACUGGGAUGUAGCCUACUACACUUCAUAGAAAGUUCAUGCUAA